GACGAACGCUGGCGGCGUGCUUAACACAUGCAAGUCGAACGAAGUGGCGAACGGGUGAGUAACGCGUAAUCAACCUGCCCUUCAGAGGGGGUUAACAGUUGGAAACGACUGCUAAUACCGCAUACUGAAGAGGGGGAUUGCGUCUGAUUAGCUCGUUGGGGGGGGAACGGCCCACCAAGGGGAUGAUCAGUAGCCGGUCUGAGAGGAUGAACGGCCAAAUUGGGACUGGGACACGGGCCCGAACCCUACGGGAGGCAGCAGUGGGGAAUUUUCCGAAAUGGAGGAAAGUCUGACGGAGCAACGCCGCGUGAGUGAUGACGGCCUUCGGGGUGUAAAGCUCUGUUAAUCGGGACGCGGUACCGGAAGAGAAAGCCACGGCUAACUACGUGCCAGCAGCCGCGGUAAUAC
rnacentral:rRNA from 1 species